AAUAAACAACAUUUGUAUAGCGCUUAUCACAAAAUAUGUCUCUAAGCGCUUAAGAAAAAUAGAAAGAGAAGGAAUUACAGCCAAAUAUUAAGUUAUACAUAAUAGAUAUAUAAAACCUUU